UAGGGAAUCUUCGGCAAUGGGGGGAACCCUGACCGAGCAACUCCGCGUGAGUGAAGAAGGUUUUCGGAUCGUAAAGCUCUGUUGUUAAGGAAGAACGAGUGUGAGAAUGGAAAGUUCAUACUGUGACGGUACUUAACCAGAAAGGGACGGCUAACUACGUGCCAGCAGCCGCGGUAAUACGUAGGUCCCGAGCGUUGUCCGGAUUUAUUGGGCGUAAAGCGAGCGCAGGCGGUUAGAUAAGUCUGAAGUGAAAGGCAGUGGCUCAACCAUUGUAGGCUUUGGAAACUGUUUAACUUGAGUGCAGAAGGGGAGAGUGGAAUUCCAUGUGUAGCGGUGAAAUGCGUAGAUAUAUGGAGGAACACCGGUGGCGAAAGCGGCUCUCUGGUCUGUAACUGACGCUGAGGCUCGAAAGCGUGGGGAGCGAACAGG
rnacentral:rRNA from 1 species